rnacentral:rRNA from 1 species
AUGGCGGUGGAAAUACAUCUCCCAUGCUGCUUCGCUCUCAAGUCGAAGCGCCAUGAGAGCUACCUUCGUUAUGUUCACGAGGAAGGAGACGAGACGACCAACGGGCAGCUGCAGCUCAACGGCGAGGACGCCGUCAACCCCUUCACCAGGUUCGAUUCCGAGCCGUCGCUGCUGCACGAAGGUAUGGUUCACAUUCGAUGCCGCUACAACCGCAAGUACUGGGUGCCUCGUCAGCGUGGCGGCGGCUGGUGGAUCGCCGCGGACGCCCAUGAGCCGGAAGAAGACAUCGACAGCGCCAACUGCACCCUCAUCAAACCCAUCAUCAGUGUCACAGACUCCAAGUCCAAGGCCAACGAUGACGAUACUACUACUGGAGCCGCCAUGACCGUCAGGUUCCUCCACGCUGGCCAUGGCAAAGACACGCGCAUGACCUUCUCCAUGGACCGCGGCACCGCCGCCUGCAUGCGCGUCCGUGAGAGCGAUGCCAAGGAAGAAGAAGAAGAAGAAGAAGAUGGUGGUGACGACUUCACCGUCCUCAACCUCUCCAGCAGCCCCAGGAGGCUACCAAGGUUGGUGGUGUUCAAGGGCGACAACAACCUCUACUUGAGCGGGGUGACGAUCAGUGGCCGCAACUACCUGCAGUUCUCAGCGCGCGACCCCGGCGACCCCACGGUGGCGCACGAGAUAACCUACCCCGGCAGCAACAACAGAAUGCACCUGCGCAACAUCCACCACAACAUGAUGUGGGGGUUUCGCAGCAUCGAUUCAGAGUGGGUCUUGGCCAACAUCGCCCCUACUCAGGCGGGGGGGCUCAACUCCAUGUUCCAGGCCGUGGAUGUCAAGGACUACUUCGCCCUCAGCAACUCCUCCUCCGGGGUCACACGCUACCUCAGAAGGAGGACGAGUGGCGGCAUCACCAACUGCCUCAACGGCGGCUCCACGAGCAGGGGCAUCACCGCCGACGCGCGGAUCAGGGUGGAGGAGCCCGUCCUUGACCGGGAGAUCUACAACGUCGAGUACAGGCUGAACAAUGUCAGGAUCUACGAAACCAGCGUCAUCACCAUGGCCACCACGGCCGCCGUCAAUGACACCUCCAAGGAGAACAUCAAGACGCUCACUCUCGCCUACGAGGAGUCCGAGUUGAGCACCUGGGACGCCACCCUCGAGCUCAAGCUAGGGUACAAGUCCAGGCUCCGAGCCGGGUUCCCAAAGCUCGGCCUCGGUGCCACCGUCAACAUCUCCGCCGAGUUCUUCGGGGCCUACAACUGGGCCGAGACCAUGGAGAAGAAGGUGAGCCAUGAGGUUGAGUACGAGGUCACCGUGCCUCCCAAGACCAAGGUAACCGUCAGACUCAUCGCGACGAGGAGUGCCAUCGACGUCCCCUUCGACUACCAGCAGAGGGACGUCAUGUCCACCGACGGAAAAGCUCGGGUUGUUAGCAGGACGGAUGGCCUCUACACUGGCGUCAACAGCUACAACUUCAAGUUCCAGACCACGGAGGAGAAGCUCAAGCCAAGGCUUUUGGCCACAACCCCUCCUUGA